UACAGAGGGUGCGAGCGUUAAUCGGAAUUACUGGGCGUAAAGCGUGCGUAGACGGUUAUUUAAGUCGGGUGUGAAAGCCCCGGGCUCAACCUGGGAAUUGCAUUCGAGACUGAAUAGCUAGGGUACGGUAGAGGGAAGUGGAAUUUCCGGUGUAGCGGUGAAAUGCGUAGAUAUCGGAAAGAACAUCAGUGGCGAAAGCGACUUCCUGGACCAGUACCGACGUUCAGGCACGAAAGCGUGGGGAGCAAACAGGA
rnacentral:rRNA from 1 species